GAUUAGGUUCAGAAGUAAAAUGUUAAAUAUUUAAUCUGUGCUUCAUGUUUGUCAGUUAUCGUUAACCUGCUCAAAAAAAACACAAAUUGUUGCUUAGCAAUCAGUGAAGACGCCCCCCAACACACACACGCGGGCAACAAAAGUCAAGCCAGCCCCCAAACAAACGCAAUCAACAACAUCAUCAAUGGUAACUGCGGCGUCAAUAGUUCAGGGAAAGAUAAACCAAGACAGGCGGACAGACAGUCUUGUCAGACGGAUGGAAGGAUGGAUGGAUGGAUGGAUGGAUAGACGGUUGGAUGGAUGGACCAAGAAGUAGUCAAGCUGCUAACGAUUAUUUAAAAUGGGUGGCAACGCCAACGAGCAUACAAACAAGACCGUUAGGAGUUUGUCUAGCAUCAGGUUGCGGCUCACGGGGCGUAUGCGCAACGCUGGUUUAGCAUCGUUGGGCGGGCUCAAAAGUUGCAGAAGAAAAGUUCCAAGAAAUUUAAUUUAUAUUUUCUGCUUUUUUCGGAUUUAAUUUUCUUAAAUAUUUCACCUGUGGUUUACGUUUCAUCAAGGUGUAACUAAGACCCACACACACGCAUACGUUACGUAUACGUAAUCUGUAGCAUGCCGUAGCCGCAACGUUAACAUGGGGUGGCUCCACUUGAGAUGUACUUUUCAAGCUUGCAACAAUUUCCGAAGAUUCCAACCUUGGCAAUACUCCUUUUUUUUCCAUCUUUGUUGUUCUUGAUGUUCAACCUCGUAUCUAUGUCUGGCAUCUGUGUGUGUUUAAGCUGCUCUCUAAUAUUAAUUGAAAUCUUAUCGUUUUUUUUCGGGCCAUUUCAGAGUAAAUGCUUGCCGUAAAUAUAGCCAUUUAUGGUUUACUUAAACAACCAAAAGCAGAAAACACGUAAGAAAUUGCCAAUACAAAAAUAUCAGUUUCAACGUGUAUAAAUUGUGCUCUAAGGUUGGAGGAUUAUCCUUGGGCGAAUGCAGAAACCUAAUUGAAAAGAAUUCAUCUCGAAUGCAAAUUUUUAAAAUGUAUUUGCAAUUUAAAAGGAUUUUAUUGCUAUGAUUGGAUUUUCAUCUUGUCUUUUUUUGCCAUUUAUUAUCAAAUUUAGAAUAUUGAAUUGAACAGCAAAAUGAUAUCAUGCUUUGAAUUGAAUCGCUUAUUGGCCUCUAUUGCCCCCUAUUAAACACAAUUGUGCUCUGAUGCACGUUGAACUAAAGUACAGACAAACAUAUAUGUAUAUGUACGAUGUAUUCCCUAUAAAUUGGUGUAAAUUUUAA